CCAGAUCCGGUACCUGCGAAGGCCAUGAAAUACUACAUAGUUUGUUUCUCAGCAGCUGUAUCAUGGUCCAAGAUCCAGCUAUUCAGGAUAUCUAGCUGAAGAAGUUCACAAGAAGAAAGGUUCCUAAUACCAUUUGGCUGUGUGGGAAACACAGCAAAAUUGACACUGUUAGUCUGUUUUCUGAAGAUGUAUGUUUUGGUUGAAUUGCACAGAAAGACCACCAUUUCGCUGAAAUUCUGCAGUUGGUCAGUGAAAAGAUAUCAGCUCAUUCAGAACAAUUCAUUAUUGUUAGAAAUCUACAAGAACAACCCAUUCAGAGUACAGCUGGAACAAGAGAAGUAAUCAGACUACGAAUUUGGAAUUUAUAGAGAACUUGAAAAUGAGAACGGAAACUACAAAUUAUAAUUUGAAGGGUCAGAAGCUAAUAAUAAUUUAAAUGGAACACUGGAUGAAGAGAACUCCCCCCCCCCCAUCCCUCUCAGUAUUGCCAUCAGAUGUGAUUUUGACAUUUAAGAGAUAGAAAGUUAUGAAAAGAAAUAGAAGUUGUUGAAAAGAAUAAAGCUUCAGCAUUUCCUCAGUGGGCUGUUUCAAAAUAAAUGGCAAAUGAAGUGAAAAGAAAAA